rnacentral:rRNA from 1 species
GAUGAACGCUGGCGGCGUGCCUAAUACAUGCAAGUCGAGCGAACAGGCGAGGAGCUUGCUCCUCUGACGUUAGCGGCGGACGGGUGAGUAACACGUGGAUAACCUACCUAUAAGACUGGGAUAACUUCGGGAAACCGGAGCUAAUACCGGAUAAUAUAUUGAACCGCACGGUUCAAUAGUGAAAGACGGUUUUGCUGUCACUUAUAGAUGGAUCCGCGCCGCAUUAGCUAGUUGGUAAGGUAACGGCUUACCAAGGCAACGAUGCGUAGCCGACCUGAGAGGGUGAUCGGCCACACUGGAACUGAGACACGGUCCAGACUCCUACGGGAGGCAGCAGUAGGGAAUCUUCCGCAAUGGGCGAAAGCCUGACGGAGCAACGCCGCGUGAGUGAUGAAGGUCUUCGGAUCGUAAAACUCUGUUAUUAGGGAAGAACAAAUGUGUAAGUAACUAUGCACGUCUUGACGGUACCUAAUCAGAAAGCCACGGCUAACUACGUG